UACAGAGGGUGCGAGCGUUGUCCGGAAUCACUGGGCGUAAAGGGCGCGUAGGCGGCCCGAUAAGUAGGGGGUGAAAUCUUGCGGCUCAACCGCAAGGCUGCCUUCUAAACUGUCGGGCUGGAGCACGGUAGAGGCAGAUGGAAUUCCCGGUGUAGCGGUGAAAUGCAUAGAUACCACCAAGAACCCCGAUUGCGUAGGCAGCUCGCUAGGCCGAAACUGACGCUGAGGCACGAAAGCGUGGGGAGCGAACAGG
rnacentral:rRNA from 1 species